GAAGAGGAAGUAAACACACAACCAGAGAGCCAUGGUCUAGUGCUCCCUAGCUUGUAGCCUGAGCCACUGCAGACAUGUGGCUGCGUUUCCUGAAUCAAAGCCUGAAAGGUUUAUCUGGUCAAAUGGAAUGGAGAGUUGUAUGGUGGCUGAGACUGACAACAAGGUUAUCAAGUGUACCCAUGAAGUGGUCUUCAACCAUCCAAAGAACACAAAGGUCAUUGAUAAAAUUGUCAUGAAGAAGAUUUGCAGAUGACACCACAUGCACAGUAGUAGUAAAUAAUAAAGAGAACAUACAAAGUAAUUUACUUGACCAUGUGGAUGUAAUUAUGCAAUAUGUGUUUCAGUGUGGCCAAAUGUAGCAUUAUACAUGUAGGAAAAAGAAUGCAGGACUUGUGUUCAAAUGAUUCCAAUAACUCAUUUUCAGACAAGAUUUCAAUGAGAUACUUUCACACAAGGGCUAAUGUAAGCUUUGGAUGUAAAACAGCUGAAUGUUAAGGACAAGUAGAGAAGUUAUACUAACUCUGUAUUUGGAACUGCUGUAUUUGCUACUAGAAUAUGUGUGGCCAGUUCAAAGUAAAAAAAAACAAACUGAAAAACUGAAGGACUACAAAAAUUAAUAAAGAAUUGGAAACCUUGUCUCUUAAUGUGUGGCUCAAGGAGUUCAAUCUGUUAUUAAACAUUAAAUUUGACUACUAGACUGAAUGAUCUUAUAAAAAAAAAAAAGAUUCAACAGCUGAAAAGUUGAAGGUGGACAAAUAUUUAUCCAUUGGAACAAUCUACCAAGGUUUAGGAGGAAUCCUCUAUCACUAGAAACAUUAGUUAUGCUUUUCUAAAACAUAUCUCUGGUUCCAUCAUAGCUAUUGGAUAUAGCAAAAGGCAUUUAUUCUGGAAAGCUGAACAGUCUGUGUUACACAAAGAGGAUCAUAAUAGUCCUUCUGCCUUUACCUAGGCAUCUAUGAAACUGUCUAAUCUAGCCAAGGAGAAGAAAGCCAGCCAAGUCCAGUAAAGCACAGCUGCUAAAGAAUUUGUAUAAGCAUGUGAGCAGCAACUCAGCCUACAAACUAGCUUGGACAAAUCAUUUUUUUCCUGAAAAAAGACCGGGAAUGAAGAAUUGAGGAACAGAGAAGGGAAUAAGAAAAGGUUCCAGAGUGGUGAGAACAGCCACCCAGAGCCCUAAAAUAGUAAUUAGGAGAAAUAGGUAAAA